rnacentral:rRNA from 1 species
CUGCAGCUCAAGUGGUAGCCGCUAUUAUUGGGCCUAAAACGUUCGUAGCCGGUUUAGUAAAUGCUUGGGUAAAUUGUGUCGCUUAACGAUACGAAUACCGGGUAGACUGCUAAACUUGGGACCGGGAGAGGCUAGAGGUACUCCUGGGGUAGAGGUGAAAUUCUGUAAUCCUGGGGGGACCACCAGUGGCGAAGGCGUCUAGCUAGAACGGGUCUGACGGUGAGGGACGAAGCCCUGGGGCGCAAACCGGAUUAGAUACCCGUGUAGUCC